AGGAAAAGGAAAAAGCGUUGUUGUCAA
rnacentral:piRNA from 1 species